GACGAACGCUGGCGGCGUGCUUAACACAUGCAAGUCGAACGGAAAGGCCCUGCUUUUGUGGGGUGCUCGAGUGGCGAACUGGUGAGUAACACGUGAGUAACCUGCCCUUGACUUUGGGAUAACUUCAGGAAACUGGGGCUAAUACCGGAUAGGAGCUCCUGCUGCAUGGUGGGGGUUGGAAAGUUUCGGCGGUUGGUGAUGGACUCGCGGCUUAUCAGCUUGUUGGUGGGGUAGUGGCUUACCAAGGCUUUGACGGGUAGCCGGCCUGAGAGGGUGACCGGCCACAUUGGGACGGAGAUACGGCCCAGACUCCUACGGGAGGGAGGAGUGGGGAAUAUUGAACAAUGGGCGGAAGAAUGAUGCAGCAACGACGCGUGCGGGAUGAAGGAAUUCGGGUUGUAAACCGCGUUCGCCUGUGACGAAGCGUGAGGGAAGGUAAGGGGUAAAGAAGCACCGGCUAACUACGU
rnacentral:rRNA from 1 species